rnacentral:rRNA from 1 species
CGUAGGCGGCUAUUUAAGUCAGGGGUGAAAUCCCGGAGCUCAACUCCGGAACUGCCCUUGAAACUGGAUAGCUAGAAUACUGGAGAGGUGAGUGGAACUCCGAGUGUAGAGGUGAAAUUCGUAGAUAUUCGGAAGAACACCAGUGGCGAAGGCGACUCACUGGACAGUUAUUGACGCUGAGGUGCGAAAGCGUGGGGAGCAAACA